UCUCGCACAAUAUAAAGACUGGCGACUGCAGGACGGAUUUAUUGACAAACGCUCCUCUGAGGAAUAAACUGGAUUAAAAAUACGCGUAAAUUGGACUGUUUGCUGUCACCAACGAUGGGAAUUCAGACUGUAAUAUGUUCGGCACUUUUCCUUGCUUUUCUUGCUCUUGUAAACGGAUCUCCAGCAUCAAUGGAUGUGGGCAAACUUACCAAAGCAACAAAUGUUUCAUGGACAUCUUACAAUUUCAAAACAAUCCUGUCUUGGGGACCCAAACCUGUCAACUACACAUAUACAGUUGAAUUCUCAAGAACAAAUCGUGACAAACAGAGAAACCCUCACUGCAUUAGAAGCACAGAGACAGAGUGCGACUUGACCAAUGAUUUGGACAUAAAUGAGGUUUAUUCGGCCGAGGUGCUCUCAGAGCCCCUGCCCAGCAUGAAUAUCGACCAAGUGGAGCCUCCAUAUAGCAGAUCAAAGAUCUUCCGCCCUUAUGAUGACACUUUAAUAGGAAGACCUCAGUUCACACUGACGGUGAGCAUAGACAAGAAGCUUGUGCUGACCAUCCAAGACCCCAUCACGGCUCUGCACAAAGACAACAGAUCUUUGAACAUCCGUGACAUCUUUAAGAAAAAUCUUAAGUACAAAGUUGCCUACAGCAAAGCUGGAAGCACAGGAAAAGUAAAAAAUCAAAGUAGUCGAGGAAAGCCGAGCGGAGUUUAACCGACUGGAUGAGGAUCAGAGUUACUGCUUCAGUGUAGCGGCUUACAUUCCUAACCGGAAAGGAGACAAGAGGCUCGGAGAGUGGAGCCUUCCCAAAUGUUCACCGCAGGAAAGUAAAAGUCUGUUUGAAGAGUAUGGACUGGCUGUGAUUGGUGGAGCAGCGCUCGCAACCCUGGCUUUUGUGAUUGCUGUAAUCGUUCUGAUUGUGGUGUGCUGUAAACGAGCACAAAAACAAACGCCCACAGCCAAGGAAACCAUAGUCUGAGCUCAGAGAUGGAGAAAUGCCUGCUGGUGGAGUGGAGAAUGGGACACACAGCUGGACUGUGAGCAAGACCCAAUCCAGUGCUGUACUGCAGCUGACCUGGUUUCUGUGAAACAUUAACACUACGUGAUAUGUUAUACAUAUCAGCCAUUGUUUUUUUAUGAGUGAGCAGAACAGCCUAUUUAAUAAACAGACUUAUUUAUUAGAUUUUUUAGAAAUACAUGGAUAUAUGCGGCUUUUGUGUUUGUAUGAAUAGUUUUAUAUCGAGAGAGAUAAUUUAUGAAAUGUAUAUAUUUUUAAAACAUAAAUCAUACUCUUUGGAGCUUCACUACAUGAGUCAAAUAAAUAUUAAACCUUUCAUGACUUGUGUUUUUUAACUGCCUGCUCUACCAAAUGGUUGACCGUAUUUUGACUGUUUUGUAUAAUGUCUGUUAAAGUCAUUUAAAGAAUUACUGUUUUAAAUAAUGGUUUACACACAGCACUGUUGGUUUACAAAAAAAAUCAAACAGGUUUGUUGCACUACUUCACUUGAUUUUGGUUUUAUUGUUAAAAAAAAAUGUUAAAUAAGAAUCUGAAAUAUUUGAUGGCAUACUUCAAAAAAUAUCACACAUCAUAUUUUCAGAUUUUUCAUGGUAUACAGAUGUAUUAAUCUAUGUACUUUCACUAUAAUCUGACAUAUCAACCAUUUGGUAGAGGUUAAUAUUUUAGAAAUUAUGUGAUGGUUGAAAAAAAAUUGCACUGAGUGUGUAAAUUACUAGCGACAUCAGGAGAAUUGUUCUUGGUGGGGCAGUUUAAAGGGUUAAUGAGCAUUAUCGGCUAUGUAAUGACAAUUGUAAAGGGAAUUGCACAAUCAAAAACAAGAGGGAAUGUGUAUUUUCAGGCCAGCAGUUCUUUCUGGUAUUUUUGUUCAUGAAAAAAUCCCUAAUAACUAUGAAAUAUUGCUGAAGUUGUGUAACACUAUCUGACAAUUAAAAACACAGAGAGAGAGACUCGCUGGCCAAGACCAACUUAGUCUCAGUAGCUCACCCUUGUGGUUAGCAGCAGUACAGAUGUAAGUCUUGUAUACAAUUUAGUGUCUUUCUGGAUGAAGCACGGAAUAAACUGAAAUGUAAACAAA